ensembl:lncRNA
AGACUGACAGCGAGGAGGUUUUAACCCAGUCACACAGUAUAGUGGAGAGGGAAGGGUCUCUCAGUCACCCUCAGACUGACAGCGAGGAGGUUUUAACCCAGUCACACAGUAUAGUGGAGAGGGAAGAGUCUCUCAGUCACCCUCACACUGACAGCGAGGAGGUUUUAACCCAGUCACACAGUAUAGUGGAGAGGGAAGAGUCUCUCAGUCACCCUCACACUGACAGCGAGGAGGUUUUAACCCAGUCACACAGUAUAGUGGAGAGGGAAGAGUCUCUCAGUCACCCCCAGACUGACAGCGAGGAGGUUUUAACCCAGUCACACAGUAUAGUGGAGAGGGAAGGGUCUCUCAAUCAGGAAGACGGCAUUGUUCACAGUGAGGAGACAGACAGAGUCCCGGAAAAGACAGGAACAGGGGAGGAGACAGAGGAGAGGAGGGAUAGUGGUUCAGAAACCAGGACAGAGACAGAGGAGAGGAGGGAUAGGGGUUCAGAAACCAGGACAGAGACAGAGGAGGGGGAUCGGGGUUCAGAAACCAGGACAGAGACAGAGGAGAGGAGGGAUAGUGGUUCAGAAACCAGGAC